rnacentral:tRNA from 1 species
GAGGGUUUAGCUCAAUGGUAGAGUGUGUGCUUAGUGGUGGAGUGUGUACUUAGCAUGCAUGAGGUCCUAGGUUCAAUCCCCAGUACCUCCA